rnacentral:rRNA from 1 species
GACGUAGGGCGCGAGCGUUGUCCGGAUUUAUUGGGCGUAAAGAGCUCGUAGGCGGCUUGUCGCGUCGGCUGUGAAAACCCGCGGCUCAACUGUGGGCGGGGCAGCUGAUACGGGCAGGCUGGAGUUCGGUAGGGGAGACUGGAAUUCCUGGUGUAGCGGUGAAAUGCGCAGAUAUCAGGAGGAACACCGGUAGCGAAGGCGGCUCUGGCUAGCUACA